ACACUACAAACACUUGGAGGGCCAACAAGGAAAGACAACAAGGAAGUGCAUUUAGCAAAAAGAGGAUCAACAAAGGGAGUUUUCUUAAUUUCCUUGCAACUUAAUUUGUGUUAAUUACCUCUUAAUUACGAUUUAGACGGUGAGUGUGUCUUCAAGGGCUCAAAGUGUCCAAGAAGCCUCACCUAGGGUCGACUAGUAUAGAAUUCUUAAUUAG
rnacentral:lncRNA from 1 species